GAUGAAGAACGUAGCGAAAUGCGAUACUUGGUGUGAAUUGCAGAAUCCCAUGAACCAUCGAGUCUUUGAACGCAAGUUGCGCCCGAAGCCAUUAGGCCGAGGGCACGCCUGCCUGGGCGUCACACGUCGUUGCCCCCCCAUCUACUCCUUCGGGAUUGCGGGGGGCGGAUGAUGGCCUCCCGUGCGCCUCGUCGCGCGGUUGGCAUAAAUGCCAAGUCCUCGGCGACGCACGCCACGACAAUCGGUGGUUGCGAAACCUCGGUUGCCCGUCGUGUGCGGUCGUCGCGCAUCGAGGGCUCGAAAAAAUUGUCGGGCUCCGGCUCGGCUUUCAACGCGACCCCAGGUCAGGCGGGGUUACCCGCUGAAUUUAAGCAUAUCAAUAAGCGGAGGA
rnacentral:misc_RNA from 1 species